AUCCAUGAAUCCAUGGGAGCUGCCAUCUGUGGCUGACUCCCUUCCUAGACAUGGAAGAGCAGGGCCUUGCUAAUUGGCAUAGCUUUUACCCUCUUGUGGGUAGGAGUCGUUGACUGUGGCAAGUAACACAC
rnacentral:snoRNA from 2 species